rnacentral:lncRNA from 1 species
AAAAAAAAAAAAAUUGAAAGUUUUUUUUCAACUCUGUAAGUAUUGAAAACUAUUGAAUUGAUGUAAGGAGAACAUGAGCUUUAUAAAUAAAUCAAAAGUUAAAAAUAAAAUUCUAUUUGAUACAUGCAAAAAGUGAAAAACAUGAAUACAAUUUUCAAGUUUGUUAAUGUUAUGAUAAUCAUUCUUUCCCUAUUUCUUGCUUCAACACGAGUUUCACAUGGUAAACCGUUUUUAUCUCCUUUUCAAAUUUCCUUCUUUCCUGCUUAUACAAUAUUUUAUUCCAUUUUAAUGGCUUUGUUUUUUCUCUUUUUACAUUAAAGCUGUCAUUCCAUGUAAAACUGAUUAUGAUUGUCCGCUAAUUAAAAUCAGCCGAUACAAGCAUUUAACAAGAAUGACGUGCCGUAAAGGUGUUUGUGUAAAUAUAUAACAAUAAUUAUAAAGCUCCAAAGAUUAUAUAAUUGUCAUAUCCAAAAAAAUACACAAACGCACAACAAGAAUACUCCAUCAAUUGCAGAGAGUUUCUUAACAAUAGUAAUCCAUAUAUUACAAGUUAAUCUAUAUUCAUUUUUAUUUUGAUAAAAAUAAUGGAUACUUGAUUUUAAUUUAUAUGUUUUUGUACUUAAUCCCAAUUGGUAAUCUCCCAUCGAUAACAACGAAUCAUACCUUCAAUAUAUAUGAUUUAUCCUAAUUCUUUGAGAUGGAAGGCAUAGACAAGAGUAAUAUGUAGGUUUAUGCCAUUUGCUUUCAAACUAUUUUGUAAUCGAUCGGCUAUCUCUUAUCUCUUAUAUUAUAAACUUGUUAGUGAGAAUGUGUGUAUACAAU